UGCGAAUGGCUCAUUAUAUAAGUUAUCGUUUAUUUGAUAGCACCUUACUACUUGGAUAACCGUGGUAAUUCUAGAGCUAAUACAUGCUAAAAAUCCCGACUUCGGAAGGGAUGUAUUUAUUAGAUUAAAAACCAAUGCCCUCUGGGCUCUCUGGUGAUUCAUGAUAACUUCUCGAAUCGCAUGGCCUUGCGCCGGCGAUGGUUCAUUCAAAUUUCUUCCCUAUCAACUUUCGAUGUUUGGGUAG
rnacentral:rRNA from 1 species